GUCCUUUUGAUUAUAAUUUAAGGUCUGACCUGCCCACUGAAAUUAUUUUAAAUGGCCGCAGUAAUUUGACUGUGCAAAGGUAGCAUAAUCAUUAGUUUUUUAAUUAAAAGCUUGUAUGAAGGGUUGGACGAGAUAAAAUCUGUCUCUAUUUAAUUUAUUAUAAAAUUUAAUUUUUAAGUUAAAAAGCUUAAAUUUUUUUAAAAGACGAGAAGACCCUAUAGAUCUUUAUAGUUUUGAUUUUGAGUUUAAUUAAUAAAUUUUUAUGAUUUAUAAUUUAAACUAUUUUAUUGGGGUAAUAGAAAGAUUAAAAUAAUUCUUUUUUUCUUUAAACAUUUAUUUAUGUUUUUAAUGAUCCAAUUUUAUUGAUUAUAAGAUUAAGUUACCUUAGGGAUAACAGCGUAAUUUUUUUAGAGAGUUCUUAUCGAUAAAAAAGUUUGCGACCUCGAUGUUGGAUUAAAGAUUAAUUUAGGUGUAGAAGUUUAAAUUUUUGGUCUGUUCGACCAUUAAAUCUUUACAUGAUCUGAGUUCAGACCGGCGUAAGCCAGGUCGGUUUCUAUCUUUAAUAAUUUUAAAAUAUUUUAGUACGAAAGGACCAAAUAUUUAAUAUAUUUAUAUUUAAUUUUUUGAAUAUUAUUAAAAAUUAUUUUGGCAGAAUAGUGCAAUGAAUUUAGAAUUCAUAAAUGUAAUUUUAUUACAAAUAAUACUUGUUUUUUUUAGAUGUAAUUUUUUCUUUAGUAUGUAUAUUUUUAUUAAUUAUUUGUGUUUUAGUUGGAGUUGCUUUUUUAACAUUAUUA
rnacentral:rRNA from 1 species